AGGGGUUUUUUGACAUUUGACUCGACGCCUGCACUACCAUAAAUUAAUACCGUGGACACUGCCAACAAGCACCAGAAUACAUCCACAAAACGCCCGGUGAAAAGGGUCUCGUGUAAAUUUUGUUCGAGUUCAAAUUUGAGGGCUCAAUGCAGCAGCGGUCUGAUCGAAACCAGCUUUCUGCAUCAACAAGCUCGAGCACGUAAAUGAGAAGGAUAUUGAUCUCGAACAUAGUUACAGAAGAAAUAGCUUUUUUAACUUGUAUCGAAUUGAUAAAUUAGGUGGCUUCCUUCAAUUUUAAUGCAAAACUCAUUUGAGUUUUCUUUCGGUCUAUGUAUUAUACGUUUUGACAAUUGUGGAAUCAUAUGUGAAUUUGGUGUUCUAAGAAUUUUCUGUGAGAAUUUAUUUGGAAUCUUCUACUUUUUGUUAGUUUUGUAGUCGAUUUUGUGUUGAUUAUCAAGAAUUUUGAAGUUGAAUGAAGUUUUGAAAUAUUCG